UUGUUUAAUGUUCUCCAGCGUUCUCCUCCUCUCUCCUUCCUGUCCUUUAAUGUUCUCUAACGUUCUUCUGUCUCUCUUCAGGUCAGCUGAUUUCGGAUGACGUCUCUGAGAUUUUCGCCAAGCAUGAGAAUAAUUUUGACAUUACGUACAGCGGCACCCUCUCCACCAAGUCGGCGGCCGCCAUGUACGACGACAGUUACCUAGGAUACUCUGUGACGGUCGGAGACUUCAACAACGACGGGAAAGAAGAUUAUGUGACCGGAGUUCCUCGUGGGGAAAAAGCACUGGGUUAUGUGA